rnacentral:rRNA from 1 species
CACGUAGGCAGCAAGCGUUGUUCGGAAUUACUGGGCGUAAAGAGUGUGUAGGCGGUGUUCCAAGUCUGGUGUGAAAUCUCCCGGCUUAACUGGGAGGGUGCAUUAGAAACUGGAAUGCUAGAGGAUGGGAGAGGUAAGCGGAAUUCCUGGUGUAGCGGUGAAAUGCGUAGAUAUCAGGAGGAACACCUGUGGUGUAGACAGCUUACUGGACCAUUUCUGACGCUGAGACACGAAAGCGUGGGUAGCAAACAGG